CCCAAUUUUUCCUCUAUUCCGAACCCACUCCCAAUUCAAAACCCAUUCCACCAACAUACAUGCAAUGCCUAAACCAAAACUGACCCACUGAUACUAUUCUUUUUAUCGAACAGAAAAACGAGAACUCGAUCUGACCAGACUCAGAGCAUACACGUUCUUCUUCUCCACCAACAGUUCAAUGCGAAGAAACCCAGAAAAUCGCGACCAAGACGCGAGACCUAUACGAGCCAGCCCAAAAGCAACCCGACCUGUGUCUGUCUCCCUCUCUCCCUUAUCCUCUACAUACCGGAAUAGUCCAGGUGUCUUAAUCUCAGGCACUCGUUCUUUCUUUAUCCAAAAUCGGACGUCUCUCCAUUUGAAUUGGUAGAUGAAUCUGUUGUCACCCUUAUCUCAUGGAGAUUUCGAAUUUCAAAUUCAAAUCUGUCUGUUGCCCUCAGUUGCAUACAACUUAAAAAAGAUUAAUCUAGUUUUAGAGACGAAGAUACACCACAAAUUUUCAGCUAUAUUGUUAUAUAUAAGUAUUUUAGAUAAUUUUUUGAAACCGUAGAGAUUGGGAGUCCAGAUUCCAACUUAGCGUUUGUUCUUAUUUGCACUGUUUUGCUCGUCGGAGUUCUCGGAGUCAUAUUCCAAAGUUGGUGGUAAAGUCGCAGUUAUUCUAAGCUUGUAGAUGUCCCGUUUGCUGCCCGAAAAAAGAGUUUACUUGGGACUCAUUCCUUGCGUUUCUUUGAGUUGAAGUCAGUUUAGUCAGUCUCAUUUUUGUACGAAGAAACGAAGCUGAAAAAUUCUUGAAAAGUCCAAAAAGGGGUUGUAUACAGUAGUGUACACUGAUAUACAUUGCAGUAUACAGGUUGAAAUACAAAAAUACAGGAUUGAGGUAAAAUGCAAGUUGUUGGAAGACAAGAUGAGGCUGUAUACAUGGAAAAUACAUGACAAUAUACAGGAAAUGGGCCAAAAAAUUUUAUUGUAUACAGCAGUAUACAUAAAACAUAUAUGCUGAUUUUUGAAGGCAAAUAGGCCCAAAGCCUAAAAUAAUUUCCAGCAGGUCUCAGUGGUGAAAAAGAGGCACAAUUAAAAUAAGUACCAGUAGUCUUUGGAUUUAAAUAGGCUAAAAAUUCAUUAUUUUAGCAACUUUAAACUUGUAAAAAUUAGGCAAAUCACAUAGUCACAUAGUCUAAGGGAUAAAUUACUUUCUAUCCCUACUCUUUCACUAUUUACCAAAAAUUCCUUUUUAUAUUAAUCAAGAUACUUAAUAUUGCAGAACGAUACUUAAAUUAGAGCGGACGGAUACUUUAAUAUUUAA